GCAGUAGCAAGCGUACUGUCUAGGGGACGGCUGCUCCGCUUUUGCACCCUGCUCUAGGAGGAGGAGGUGGAUGUGGAGUAGGAGGUUGAGGAGGCGUGACCGUGGCGGAGACUUUGAUGUUACUAUCUGCGCCUACCAUGGUGACCACGGGUAGUGGGUAAUCAGGGUUUGGUUCAGGAGAGGGAGCCCGAGAAACAGCUACCACAUCCAGGGUAGGCAGCAGGCGCGCAAAUUACCAACUCCCUACGCGGGGAGGUAGUGAC